rnacentral:rRNA from 1 species
ACCAAAUAGAUACCCAGGUAGUCCACGCCGUAAACGAUGAAUACUAGGUGUAGGGGUUGUCAUGACCUCUGUGCCGCCGCUAAACGCAUUAAGUAUUCCGCCUGGGGAGUACGGUCGCAAGAUUAAAACUCAAAGGAAUUGACGGGGGCCCGGCACAAGCAGCGGAGCAUGUGGUUUAAUUUACGAAGCAACGCGAAGAACCUUACCUAGACUUGUACAUCUCCUGCAUUACUCUUAAUCGAGGAAGUCUCUUCGGUAGACAGGAUGACAGGUGGUGCAUGGUUGUCGUCAGCUCGUGUCGUGAGAUGUUGGGUUAAGUCCCGCAACGAGCGCAACCCUUAUUGUUAGUUGCCAUCAUUAAGUUGGGCACUCUAGCGAGACUGCCCGGGGUUAACCCGGGGUAGGAAGGUGGGGUAUGACGUCAAAUCAUCAUGCCCCGUUAUGUCUAGGGCUACACACGGUGCUACAAUGGUCGGUACAAUAAGACGCAAGCCCGCGAGGGGUAGCAAAACCUGGAAAACCGAUCUCAGUUCGGAUUGUAGGCUGAAACUCGCC